AGGCGCGAGACUGUGCGGUGGCAGCCAUGGCGGACGGUUGCGAUGAGGCUGCUCCUGGGUCUCGCGGCUAUCCAAGACCAUCGAGGGUCCCCGGCGGCGCCUGCCGUCUGCUGAGGCUGGGUGGACUCCUCUGCGGCAGAUCUCCUGUAAGAUGUGCUGCACGAGACCUGUGGGGUGUCCGCGGCAGAAGAUGUCAGAGCUGGAAGAGACCUGAGAGGCGAUCCCCUUGGUGGGUGAUGGUUCUUCCGGGAAUCUGGUGGUUUGCGCGCCUUGUCGUCUGCUUCCAGAACAAGGAUCUUCGCUGUACGCCAAGACCCAGAUCCCUCUGACAUCGGAAUGACAAGUGGGAUAUUUAAUAAAACAGUUUCAAAUUUGGAG
rnacentral:lncRNA from 1 species